rnacentral:rRNA from 1 species
GAUGAACGCUGGCGGCGUGCCUAAUACAUGCAAGUCGAGCGAACGGACGAGAAGCUUGCUUCUCUGAUGUUAGCGGCGGACGGGUGAGCAACACGUGGAUAACCUACCCAUAAGACUGGGAUAACUUCGGGAAACCGGGGCUAAUACCGGAUAAUAUUUUGAACCGCAUGGUUCAAAAGUGAAAGACGGUCUUGCUGUCACUUAUGGAUGGAUCCGCGCUGCAUUAGCUAGUUGGUAAGGUAACGGCUUACCAAGGCAACGAUGCAUAGCCGACCUGAGAGGGUGAUCGGCCACACUGGAACUGAGACACGGUCCAGACUCCUACGGGAGGCAGCAGUAGGGAAUCUUCCGCAAUGGGCGAAAGCCUGACGGAGCAACGCCGCGUGAGUGAUGAAGGCCUUCGGAUCGUAAAACUCUGUUAUUAGGGAAGAACAUAUGUGUAAGUAACUGUGCACAUCUUGACGGUACCUAAUCAGAGAGCCACGGCUAACUACGUGCCAGCAGCCGCGGUAAUACGUAGGUGGCAAGCGUUAUCCGGAAUUAUUGGGCGUAAGCGCGCGUAGGCGGUUUUUUAAGUCUGAUGUGAAAGCCCACGGCUCAACCGUGGAGGGUCAUUGGAAACUGGAAAACUUGAGUGCAGAAGAGGAAAGUGGAAUUCCAUGUGUAGCGGUGAAAUGCGCAGAGAUAUGGAGGAACACCAGUGGCGAAGGCGACUUUCUGGUCUGUAACUGACGCUGAUGUGCGAAAGCGUGGGGAUCAAACAGGAUUAGAUACCCUGGUAGUCCACGCCGUAAACGAUGAGUGCUAAGUGUUAGGGGGUUUCCGCCCCUUAGUGCUGCAGCUAACGCAUUAAGCACUCCGCCUGGGGAGUACGACCGCAAGGUUGAAACUCAAAGGAAUUGACGGGGACCCGCACAAGCGGUGGAGCAUGUGGUUUAAUUCGAAGCAACGCGAAGAACCUUACCAAAUCUUGACAUCCUUUGACAACUCUAGAGAUAGAGCCUUCCCCUUCGGGGGACAAAGUGACAGGUGGUGCAUGGUUGUCGUCAGCUCGUGUCGUGAGAUGUUGGGUUAAGUCCCGCAACGAGCGCAACCCUUAAGCUUAGUUGCCAUCAUUAAGUUGGGCACUCUAAGUUGACUGCCGGUGACAAACCGGAGGAAGGUGGGGAUGACGUCAAAUCAUCAUGCCCCUUAUGAUUUGGGCUACACACGUGCUACAAUGGACAAUACAAAGGGCAGCGAAACCGCGAGGUCAAGCAAAUCCCAUAAAGUUGUUCUCAGUUCGGAUUGUAGUCUGCAACUCGACUACAUGAAGCUGGAAUCGCUAGUAAUCGUAGAUCAGCAUGCUACGGUGAAUACGUUCCCGGGUCU